UGAUUUACAAAAGUAUAUCAACAUCAUCUUGGGUGCUGCUUUGGCCUUAACCUUCAUUGGGCUCGCCUUGUUAAUAUUCAACAUCAAGGCAAAAAUCUGUUUUUGCUGCAACGCAAGACCUCAAACCCGUGAGGAAACAUCCAAUCAUGGGCAGGAGAGAAACGAUGACACUUUGGUUUAUGCAGCACCGACCAUCGUCAAAAGGAAAAGGGGCAAUCCGAUUCAGAGUUAUGAGGAAUUUAGCACGUAUACUGAUGUUUGUCUUAAGGAAUCCUAUUGAGGCUGAAUAGCACAAUGCUCACAAACUUCAACCCUUUAUAGGGCACUUAUUUAACUCAUUGACUGCCGUUAAUGGCCCUCGACAUCCAAUCCAUUUUGACCGGGAGAGGCUGGCAGCGAUUCACUGCCAGACCUGACAAUCUAUGGCAUUGAAAGAUGAGCAUUAACAGCCAGUCCUCAUAGUUCAAAUGAAUUGGACGCCUAUUAUUGCCAAUGGCUGGCAUUGCGUUUCUAUAAGUAAUACAGUAUGAAAUUUAACACACACACACACAAAAAAAAUCCCCUUUAGAAUGUUAUUGUGGAAUGUUUAUUUCUGUUUUUAUUCAUUCUAAUUAUUUUUAUUUUCAAUGGACAUUUUAUUCCUUAAUAGUUAUAUUUAUUAAUA